rnacentral:lncRNA from 1 species
CUGGCACUACUUCCUUCGAAGCGACUGCAUCCUAAACUGUCAUAUUAAACAUGUGUGCCGUCAAUCUUCUCGGCUGAGCAGAUCAUUUGAUCGCCAGUGUCCCGCUGAUGUUUCCUCUAUUGUUGCUUCCUUUCUCUGCAUUCUUCUUUGCAGAGUUACGAAUUUGAUGAUCUGACCAUCCACACGAAAAAAAACAUUGUAUCUUCCUACUCUCUCCUGACUUGUUUCUCGAUUGGGUAUUGUCAUUCCAUUUACGCUUAUUGGGGUUACUUCCUCCACUGCUACCUCCUUCAUUUUUCUUCUUUUUCUCUUGAUGAUACCUUGAUACGGCUUCACUUCCUCCUUUAGCGAUGAUUACUUUUUCUAACAGGGUCAAAAAUGUAUUAAUUUGCAACACAGCUACUGUGUUAUAUAUUCCUGGCUUCAAUCCAUUCUCAAACCUUCGCGCCUUUCGUAACUCAGUAUCCACUUGAUGUGGAGCGAAUUGUUGGGUAAAAUCUAAUUACGCACAACACGCAAGUAUACAUGGUCAACAAGUAAUAAAGUGAUAAGUUGAGUAUCGUUCCCACAGAGAAUUAUUUAACAAAAAU